rnacentral:rRNA from 2 species
GGUAUUGAUUGGUGCUUGCAUCAUGAUUUACAUUUGAGUUGAGUGGCGAACUGGUGAGUAACACGUGGGAAACCUGCCCAGAAGCGGGGGAUAACACCUGGAAACAGAUGCUAAUACCGCAUAACAACUUGGACCGCAUGGUCCGAGUUUGAAAGAUGGCUUCGGCUAUCACUUUUGGAUGGUCCCGCGGCGUAUUAGCUAGAUGGUGAGGUAACGGCUCACCAUGGCAAUGAUACGUAGCCGACCUGAGAGGGUAAUCGGCCACAUUGGGACUGAGACACGGCCCAAACUCCUACGGGAGGCAGCAGUAGGGAAUCUUCCACAAUGGACGAAAGUCUGAUGGAGCAACGCCGCGUGAGUGAAGAAGGGUUUCGGCUCGUAAAACUCUGUUGUUAAAGAAGAACAUAUCUGAGAGUAACUGUUCAGGUAUUGACGGUAUUUAACCAGAAAGCCACGGCUAACUACGUGCCAGCAGCCGCGGUAAUACGUAGGUGGCAAGCGUUGUCCGGAUUUAUUGGGCGUAAAGCGAGCGCAGGCGGUUUUUUAAGUCUGAUGUGAAAGCCUUCGGCUCAACCGAAGAAGUGCAUCGGAAACUGGGAAACUUGAGUGCAGAAGAGGACAGUGGAACUCCAUGUGUAGCGGUGAAAUGCGUAGAUAUAUGGAAGAACACCAGUGGCGAAGGCGGCUGUCUGGUCUGUAACUGACGCUGAGGCUCGAAAGUAUGGGUAGCAAACAGGAUUAGAUACCCUGGUAGUCCAUACCGUAAACGAUGAAUGCUAAGUGUUGGAGGGUUUCCGCCCUUCAGUGCUGCAGCUAACGCAUUAAGCAUUCCGCCUGGGGAGUACGGCCGCAAGGCUGAAACUCAAAGGAAUUGACGGGGGCCCGCACAAGCGGUGGAGCAUGUGGUUUAAUUCGAAGCUACGCGAAGAACCUUACCAGGUCUUGACAUACUAUGCAAAUCUAAGAGAUUAGACGUUCCCUUCGGGGACAUGGAUACAGGUGGUGCAUGGUUGUCGUCAGCUCGUGUCGUGAGAUGUUGGGUUAAGUCCCGCAACGAGCGCAACCCUUAUUAUCAGUUGCCAGCAUUAAGUUGGGCACUCUGGUGAGACUGCCGGUGACAAACCGGAGGAAGGUGGGGAUGACGUCAAAUCAUCAUGCCCCUUAUGACCUGGGCUACACACGUGCUACAAUGGAUGGUACAACGAGUUGCGAACUCGCGAGAGUAAGCUAAUCUCUUAAAGCCAUUCUCAGUUCGGAUUGUAGGCUGCAACUCGCCUACAUGAAGUCGGAAUCGCUAGUAAUCGCGGAUCAGCAUGCCGCGGUGAAUACGUUCCCGGGCCUUGUACACACCGCCCGUCACACCAUGAGAGUUUGUAA